rnacentral:lncRNA from 1 species
AAGUGAAGAUUGACAUCCAUUAAGGCCAAUGGUAGCUCAAUCUUCUGUUCUCUGACUCCCAAGCUUCCCAUUCUCUUAGGAGGCUGCAUUUGUGGCGCUAAAAAAAGGGAUGGGCGUGGGAGAUUCCAGGACUUGUGCUCGCUGAAGAUACAACUGUUAGUCCAAGGGGUGACCCUGGAGAUCAUUACCAAAAUUUAAAAAUUUCACCACUGGGCACACAUGUUACCCUUCUCGUGAUGGCAUGGCAAAGCUUGAUUUGCAAGAGUUUCUUUUGGAUUGUCCCCAAUGAUUCCCUUUAAAAAUAGGAGCUCCUUCAAGCUCCUGUAUCAGCAGUGCUUGCACCUCAUAGGUGAUGAUCAUGAGGGGGACAAGGAGCCUCUAGACUUAAGAGACAAGUUGCCAGCAUUCUCCAGAUGGAGUGUUUCCCUCCGCAGCACCCCCUGCUGGUCAGUUUGACAAGCAGGUGAACAGAAGUUCUCAAAUACACAAUAGUAGAUUCUAUCAAUCAAGUUUCAUAAAGAGUUCUGAUUCCCAGAGAUAGCAGAUUCUGUCAACCACAUUUCAUAAAGAGUUCUGAUUCUAAGAGAGCCAUACACCUGAAGGAGGGAUGGAAAGACUAGGAGAGCCUGGGAUCCUCAGAGAUGGAGAUCUGGAUGUGAAGAGAAAGAGAAAAACAAAAGUCAACAGACAGUACUGUGACCAAGUCAGUGAUGGUGAGAUCAGCAGCAUCUCUAGGACCCUUCUGAUUGACAUGAAGUCACCAUCAAGUAGGCAGAACUCACAGGACUUAUGGAGCAAGGAUGACUGACACAAACACAAAAAUCAUUCUGCCUGUUGAAUGAAUCAUAAAAUACUGUCUUUGAUCCAGGAGGCUUGUGUCAUCUGCCAGCAUUUAUGAAACUGUGCUCCAAGUAGGAUGGGGUCUCUAUCUGGCCAGCGCCAUGUUGCCUGAACACUUGAAGACAAAGAAAAGGGAAGAAGAGGCAGGGCGCCGUAGCUCACGCCUGUAAUCACCGCACUUUCUGAGGGCGAGGAGGGUGGAUCACGAGGUCAGGAGUUCAAGACCAGCUUGGCCAAGAUGGUGAAACCUCGUCUCCACUAAAAAAAAUACAAAAAAAAAAAAAUUUAGCCGGGCCUGUUGGUGGGCUCCUGAAAUCCCAGCCACUCAGGAGGCUGAGGUAGAGAGCUGCUUGAACCCGGGAGGCAGAGGGUGCAGUGAGCCGACAUCGCCCCACUCCACUCCAGCAUGGGCAACAGAGCGAGACUCCGUCAAAAAAAAAAAAAAAAAAAAAAAGAAGAGGACACCUCCAUGUUGAACAUGCGAGUAUGCCUGGCUUCCAAGUAUCCCUUUUCUAUUGGCAUAGGUGCCGGCAUUCCCCUUUGCAAGUUUUAGCUUGCUUAUCUAUGCUUGCAGCUGAUUUUUCAGGCUGAUUGUUGUUAGAAAACAAAAUUAGAUGGGGGCUGCUUUUUUAUUAAAAGGAAAACCUUACCAACGACUCCCUUACCCACACUAACUGCCUAAAUAAUUGAUUUUUUUAGCUCCUGUAUCAGCAGUGCUUGCCCCUGAUAGAUGAUGAUCAUGGGGGGACCAGGAGCCUCUAGACUUAGAGAACUUUCCCCACCCUCCCUGUGGAGUGUUUCCCUCCCCAGCACCCCCUGCUGGUCAGUUUGACAAACAGAUGAACAGAAGUUCUCAAAUACACAGUAAGCAGAUAACCCCAACAUCACCAGAAAUAUCAACUUGUGAUGGCAUUUUGUCAAGUUGUCUUUGUUAUCGGCAUCAUCUGUUGCUUUCUGAGGGAAGUAUUUUGAGUUCUCCUACUGAGACUGUGGAUUUGCCUAUUUCUUUUUGUAUGUCAGCUUUUGCCAUAUGUAUUUUGUAGUUGUGUUGUGAGGAAGAUUCAUGACUUAUCUUGUGGGAGAAUUCUGUAUUUAGCAGAUUUUCGUCUUAAGUUCUGUUUUGCUUAGUAUUGAUGUUAUUACUUUGCUUUUUCAGUUUCAAAAUCAUUUAGUAUAUCUUUUUCCUUUCUUUUAGCCUUUGUGUUUUUAUUUCAGAUGUGCUUUCUUAUGUACUGACUGUGAUCCCCAAAUUCAUAUGUUGAAGUCCCAACUCCAAAUGUAUUUGGAGGUGGGCCUUUCAGACGUAAUUGAGUUUAGAUGACGUCAUGAGGGUGGAGCCCCCAUGAUGACACUAAGUCCUUCUAAGAAAAGGAAGAGAGUCUGAGCCCUCCUCUACACCAUGUGAGGGCACAGAGAGAGAGCAGCCAUCAACAAGCUGAGAGAGGAGGACUGAGAAUGAAACCUACCUCGCCAGAACCUUGUCAUAUCCCUUCCCGGUUUCCAAACGAGUGAGAAAUCAAUUUCUGUUGUGUAAGCUACUCAGUGUAUGAAACUUUGUUAUGGCAGCCAGAGCAGAUUAAUGCAUGCUUCUUGGACUUUGUUUUUAACUCAAUAUGAAAAACAUAUGUUUUAAUAAAAAAAUUACCCCAUUCAUCUGUAUUGUGUUUACUGAUAAUUUUGGACUUAUUUUUGCCAUAUUUAAGAAAUCCUCCUUCCUCUUUCCCAUGCUUUCUUGUGUUUUUUUA